rnacentral:lncRNA from 1 species
GGGGCAUAAUUUGUAGUUUGAAAGUCCUUGAGCUAAGUCUUGCCUUUAAGAAAAUAAUUGUAGAACAUCUCAUAAAUGAAAACAUAACGUGGUAGAAUUAACUCUUGCCUGUGGGACAUAAUUUAUAGUUUGAAAGUCCCUAAGCUAAUUAAGUCUUGUCUCUAAGGCAAUAGUUGUAGAACAUCUCAUAAACGAAAAAGUAAC